AACGAACGCUGGCGGCAGGCCUAACACAUGCAAGUCGAACGCCCUAGCAAUAGGGAGUGGCAGACGGGUGAGUAACGCGUGGGAACGUGCCUUUCGGUUCGGAAUAACUCAGGGAAACUUGAGCUAAUACCGGAUACGCCCUUCGGGGGAAAGAUUUAUUGCCGAAAGAUCGGCCCGCGUCCGAUUAGCUAGUUGGUGAGGUAAAGGCUCACCAAGGCGACGAUCGGUAGCUGGUCUGAGAGGAUGAUCAGCCACACUGGGGCUGAGACGCGGCCCAGACUCCUACGGGAGGCAGCAGUGGGGAAUAUUGGACAAUGGGCGCAAGCCUGAUCCAGCCAUGCCGCGUGAGUGAUGAAGGCCCUAGGGUUGUAAAGCUCUUUCGCCAGGGACGAUAAUGACGGUACCUGGAUAAGAAGCCCCGGCUAACUUCGUGCCAGCCGCCGCAGUAA
rnacentral:rRNA from 1 species